GACUCUCGGCAACAGAUAUCUCAGCUCUUGCAUCGAUGAAGAACACAGAAAAAUGCGAUGCUUGGUGUGAAUUGCAAAAUCCCAUGAAUCAUUGGGUCUUUGAACGCAACUUGCACCCGAAGACAUUAGGGUAAGGGUACGUCUGCCUGGGUGUCA